CAAACAUUCGCCAACAUUCCCUCCGAUCCAGAGGAAGGAAACGAUAGCGUGCGUGGCACGUAUACUUCGACGUCGGGCAAGUCGGGGCGGCGUGCUGAAAUUAGCCAUAAUUGACAUCUUUGUAUCGCUCGGAUCAGACCUGAAGUGGAUUUUACUUGUGGAGGCCAAACCAGCUGCGCUAUUUAUCUCCACAAGACGCUCCCACAGGGGAUUUUCAUUAUUUCCGGACAUGACGUACCAGCAUCGAUGCUCACUCAAAUUGGCAUCGGCUCGCAUUUGUUUUUGCAGUGGAGAAGUUAACACAAAUGAAAAUGCUUAAGCGUAUUUUUAGACAUGGAAUUCGUCAGGAGCACAAUACACCAGGAAGUGUCAUCAUGGUGCCACAGCAACACACCUUCGAAACAUCGGCCCAUUUGUUCAUCAUUUUGGAACGUACGUGACCUUCCGCAUGUCCAUCUCUCCGGUUGGUUAUUCCUGAUGCGGGAAUUGGGAACGAGGACUCACCUGGCCGGCCAGUGUUAGCGGGAGGUGCGACGGGCUGCAGAGUGCCAACGAAGCCACCGAACGAGGAAGCUCCUGGAUGGGAGCUUCAUCCAGGUUGUCGUGCGAGGUUUUUUGAUGUUGGUCUCGGGGGUGGUAAAGGAGUCACGCUGUUCCUCCGGAUCAAGCUGCCCGGACCUCUCCUCACCUCCUGUGCAGAAUUCGACUUAAUAUCCAACGGUACAGAUAAACGGUACUCGUGUGAGGAGGUCUUACCUCGGGUCGGUCUCUGUGAGUAUUCACUGCCUCCACGUUCAAAGAGAUGGACCGAUUUUGCAACCGUGGCCACAGGGGUGAGCUUCAGCACAGUAUGAAGGGGACACUUCAGGUAGGGCAUCUCAUCUGCGAUAUUUAAAAAAUAAAUGAUUGGUGAUUUGUGGUUUACAUGAGCAUAUUGAUGAGUGUCAUCACCUGCGCUUUUAUCCAGGAGUAGGCCAGGAGGCAACGCAUGACAGCCUGGUGGCGAUGACCAGCACAUUCUCCUGACGCUCCAGCUCCAUAAUGACCGGCUCCACCCUCUGGACAGGUCCCUGGUAGGACUUGAGUCAACAAAAUGUAAGUGAAUGUCAUCUCAAGUUAAGCACGAGGAGUACCACAAGGGUCAAUUUCGGAACCUCGUUUAUUUCAACUGCAGUUGUAAUACUUCCAGUAUUUUGGACUAAUGGGGGUUUUGAUGAUGCUAAAAAAACAAAAGUCGGGAUUACUACAUCUCUAUUAGUUUGUAUCGAACUCUGUAGAAGCCUACCUCUCCAGCGGGGGUAGCGAUAGUAGUAUUUAUCUUCAUCCCUCAAGGCGAACUCCUCAGGAAACUUCUCCUUAAUCUCAUCGUAAGUCAUCUCCUCACCAUAAUCCCUAAAAAAAAACAAAAAGUCGGUAAAUGUGAAUAUUUAUGCAGGGAGAAAAAAAAAGUUGCGUCCAGAGUGACACCCACUGCGUCAAUUUCAUGAGGGCCUUCCACUGCUCGUACGGGACCCCCAGGUGCUCGGCUGUCUGGAUGCUGCUGCACAACUGGCUGGUCCAGACCUUCAGAUCCUUCAUCUGCUGCUCCUCUACGAAUCCAGCCAAGGCGCUGGAAAACUACAAUGGAGAGCGCAGAAGAAAAAAAAAUCACCGCCCGAUUCCUCCAAACGUGGCACUGAAGCUUCGGAAUAUCCCCUACCUGCCUGCCCCUCGGGCGAUGAGGCCAGCGUCGCCCCCGAGCCGCCCCUCCAGGUUGUCUGUGCUCUCUCCGUGUCGACACAGGUAGAUGGUGCGCGGCUGGACGUGGAUGUUCAUCAGGUAGUAGACGAUCUUGCUCUGGGUGUGAUCCUGGAUGCGGUUGACCAGGAAGCGGCGGCCCACGUCUAUCACCUUGAUGAAGGAAAGGUCCCUGCAGGUCGAGAACCCGAUUAACAAUGGAACCGAAAACAAAGGUCCAGAGGCUGGUAGCUGGCUUUUGUAACAUUCAAUCCUCCUUUGGAAAUCCACACGGCGUCCGUCUUGUUGCAGUCUUUGUAAUCUGGGCAGGAAACCUUCACUUCCUGGAAGAAGAAAAGGAGCUUCGAUGUGUACUGCGCAGGAAGUGCCGGUUAACUUCUCACUCAGAAGCAGGCCUUGACGACCCGCCCGCCGAAAUAACGUCCGUUCAGAUCCACCACAGCUGCGGAAGACAGAAGGCAACAGUCAAACCGUGUCAAGAACAUUACACAAAAGCAACAGUGCAGUGCAGAUCACCUUACACCUGAACAUAUCGUAUUAAUAAAAGAAAUAAGCAGCUGUGACCUGAGCCCCAAAACGAAGAACAGAACGGCAACUGGGUGGUCCCACCUGCUCCUCCGGGAGUCUCGGGAGCAACUGGCGCUGGAGCCCCUGCUGCUCGGGCGACACCACAAAGUAGAAGCAUUCAGAAGAUGUUCAAACUCAAGCACAGCGCCGUGCUCAGCCCCUGCUCGUGCUUGCCUAGGCCUUGGCCCUCCUUGAAGCCGUACUUCUGCAUGAUUUUGUGAGCCACGGUACCCCUGCAGGAACAGGAAGGAACUGGUUGGUCCGGGUGGGGAACGCGGCCGCUCCGAGUCCUCGUACAUGGGCGGAGGGAUGGCGGCCUUUGAGCCUCUGCUUGGACGAGCUUCGUCCUCGUAUGGGCCACAGGGGAUGUCACACUCACCAUCUCUGUCCACAAGUGAUGAAGGCGGAGCAAUGGCAGCACCACCCAUACCUGAGGAAGCGGACACACAAAAACAAACAGUAAGUCUACUUUAUUCCUAAACAAAAAGAUGUUUGUUUUUUUAAAUGUCCAAGUCGUAUGCAUGAGGUAAUACAAGCAAAACACGCGCUCACUUCGUUUUCGCCGCUCCUUCUCAUAAUCUUCGUCUUCAUCAGAGUCCUCCUCUGCUGCUGGGAAUCUCGAGAAGCCGCUUGGGGCUCCUCCUUCAUGUCUGUCUUUCCUUUUCCUAGUGGGAUAAAUGAAAUAGUGUGACGGAAC